rnacentral:rRNA from 1 species
CCUACGGGGUGCAGCAGUGGGGAAUAUUGGGCAAUGGGCGCAAGCCUGACCCAGCAACGCCGCGUGAAGGAAGAAGGCUUUCGGGUUGUAAACUUCUUUUGUCAGGGAAGAGUAGAAGACGGUACCUGACGAAUAAGCCACGGCUAACUACGUGCCAGCAGCCGCGGUAAUACGUAGGUGGCAAGCGUUGUCCGGAUUUACUGGGUGUAAAGGGCGUGUAGCCGGGUUGACAAGUCAGAUGUGAAAUCCUGCGGCUUAACCGCAGAACUGCAUUUGAAACUGUUGAGCUUGAGUACUGGAGAGGCAGACGGAAUUCCUAGUGUAGCGGUGAAAUGCGUAGAUAUUAGGAGGAACACCAGUGGCGAAGGCGGUCUGCUGGACAGCAACUGACGCUGAGGCGCGAAAGCGUGGGGAGCAAACAGGAUUAGAUACCCUUGUAGUC